AGGCAUAGAACGUAGCCCCCAGCAAGCGAGUUCCGCUAAACACAACUCCGUGGGAGACGCCUGGAGUUGGCUGCGAAGCUUCGGGGACGGAAGGAGGGAAGAAGAGGAACUGUCUCGGAGAAUCUCAUCUUUUUAUCUCUGCGGCGAUUUUGUCUUCGUGGGAUUGAAGUGAACUCGCAUUCUCUUCUGGAGUUUUGCAAUUCAAAAACAAUUCUGAAAUUGCGGGAAUUCAGAUUUCUAGGGUUUUGUUGCUUUACAGGGAGAUCCUAUAGUUUUUGUUGAGUUAAUUUUAGUGGGAUGGAUGAAGUGAAACACAAAUCCAGGAGAGAAGAUUCUGACCGGAAGGAGGAUUCCAAGAGGAGCCAUCGGGACCGUGACCGAGAUCGUGAGGACAAGGAAAGGAAUGAAGACAGGUACAAAGAUAAGGAGAAGGUAAGGGAUCGUGAUUCCGAGAAGAAGGACAGAGAAAGUCGGCGCUCGGAGAGGGAGAGGAGUGUCGAUGACAGGUAUAGGGAGAAGCACAGGGACAAGUACAGGGAGAGGGAGAAGGAUAGAGGGCGGAAUCGAGAUGAGGAAAGAGAGAGGACAAAAGAGAAGGUGAAAGACAGAGAGAGGGAGAAAAAAGAUAGGGAGACCAGAGAACGCGAGAGGGAACGGGAGAAAGAAAGGGAAGACAGAGACAGGGAGCGGGAGAGGGAGGACAGAGAGAAGGAGCGCGAGAAAGAGAAAGAGAGAGACAGAGAGAGGGAACGGGCAAGAGAGAAGGAGAGAGAAAGGGAAAGGGAAAGGGAAAGGGAAGAAAGAGAGCGGGAGAGGGAGGAGAGGGAAAGGGAAAGGGAAAGGGAAAGGGAAAGAGAAAGGGAGAGGACUAGGGAGAGGGAAAAGCGUCGGGAACUGGAUAGAGAUGAGGACAGAGAUGGUGAUGAUAGCAGGGAACAUGAAAGAAAGCGGUCUCGGAGGGACGAUGAUUAUAGGGAGAGAGAACGAGAAAGGAGCAGCAGAUCAGAUAGGCAUAGGGAUGACAGUGAUGAUAACCGAAGGAAAAGGAGUGAGGAUGAUUCUGAGAACAAAGAGAAGAGAACCCGGGAAGAAGAUUUAGAGGAAGAACAGAGGAAACUUGAUGAGGAAAUGGAUAAGAGGAGGAGGAGGGUUCAGGAAUGGCAGGAAUUGAGAAGGAAAAAGGAGGAAUCUGAGAGAGAAAAGCUGGGAGAUACAAACGCUGAUGAACCGAAAUCUGGUAAGAACUGGACCCUAGAAGGUGAGUCUGAUGACGAAGAUGCUGUUCCUACUUUGAAAUCAGAGAAGGAUACGGACAUGGACGAAGAUGGUAAGCCAGCUGGUGAAGGUGGAGAUGCUAUGGUGGUUGAUUCGGAAAAUGGAACUGCUGUAGCUGGUACUCAAAAUGGAGGUGAAGGAGCCAAUGGGGAGGAGGAAAUUGACCCAUUGGAUGCUUUCAUGAAUUCAAUGGUAUUACCUGAGGUCAAGAAGCUGAAUGGCUCUGAAAGUUCCUCUAAAGCGGAUGAUAAAAAGUCUGAUCCCAAAAAGGAUCAGAAAGAUGGGCAAAGUAAUGGGGUUCAAUCCAAAAAGGGUACAAAUAAAGCUAUGGGAAGAAUUAUGCCUGGUGAGGACUCUGAUUCUGACUACAGUGAUGUUGAGACCGACGAAGGUCAACUUGAAGAUGAAGAUGACGAUGAGUUCAUGAAAAGGGUGAAGAAGACUAAGGUUGAAAAAUUAUCUAUAGUCGACCACUCUAAGAUCCAGUAUCCCCCCUUCAGGAAAAAUUUCUAUAUUGAAGUGAAGGAGAUUUCAAAGAUGACAGCUGAGGAGGUUGCUGAUUACAGGAAACAACUUGAGUUGAAGAUUCAUGGGAAAGAUGUGCCAAAGCCUAUUAGGACAUGGAACCAAACUGGAUUGACGAGUAAAAUGCUGGAUACUAUAAAGAAACUAAACUAUGAUAAGCCGAUGCCCAUCCAAGCUCAGGCACUGCCAACAAUUAUGAGUGGUCGAGACUGCAUAGGUGUUGCAAAAACUGGUUCUGGUAAGACCCUGGGUUUUGUUUUACCAAUGUUGAGGCAUAUCAAGGAUCAGCCACCUGUUGUUCCUGGAGACGGGCCUAUUGGGCUUAUCAUGGCUCCUACUAGAGAGCUUGUCCAGCAGAUCCACAGUGAUAUCAAGAAGUUUUCAAAGGUGCUUGGUGUUAAUUGUGUCCCUGUAUAUGGUGGCUCUGGGGUUGCUCAGCAGAUAAGUGAGUUAAAGCGGGGUGCUGAGAUUGUUGUUUGUACUCCAGGUAGGAUGAUAGAUAUACUUUGUACCAGUAGUGGAAAGAUUACUAAUCUCCGAAGGGUUACAUAUCUAGUUUUAGAUGAAGCAGAUAGAAUGUUUGACAUGGGUUUUGAACCUCAGAUUACUCGGAUUGUACAAAAUAUCCGACCAGACCGACAGACUGUACUUUUUUCUGCUACUUUUCCUCGUCAAGUUGAGAUACUGGCCCGCAGAGUAUUAAAUAAGCCUGUUGAAAUUCAGGUUGGGGGAAGGAGUGUUGUGAACAAGGAUAUUACACAGUUGGUGGAGAUGAGACCAGAGAGUGAUAGGUUCCUAAGACUGUUAGAACUAUUGGGAGAAUGGUAUGAGAAGGGGAAGAUAUUAAUAUUUGUCCAGUCACAAGAAAAAUGCGAUUCUUUAUUCAGGGACAUGCUAAAGCAUGGUUACCCUUGCCUUUCGCUUCAUGGGGCAAAAGAUCAGACUGAUCGCGAGUCAACCAUUUCUGACUUCAAGAGCAAUGUCUGCAGUAUUUUGAUUGCAACUAGUAUCGCUGCUAGGGGCUUGGAUGUGAAGGAGCUUGAACUGGUAAUCAAUUUUGAUGUCCCGAACCACUAUGAAGACUAUGUUCAUCGUGUGGGUAGGACGGGGCGAGCUGGCCGGAAAGGCUGUGCUAUUACCUUUAUCUCUGAAGAGGAUGCAAGAUAUUCUCCGGAUCUUGUAAAAGCUUUGGAACUCUCGGAGCAGGCUGUUCCUGCUGAUCUGAAGGCUCUUGCUGAUGGGUUCAUGGCGAAAGUGAAUCAGGGAAUUGAGCAGGCUCAUGGAACUGGUUAUGGUGGAAGUGGUUUUAAGUUCAACGAAGAGGAAGAUGAAGUGAGGAAAGCUGCUAAGAAAGCACAGGCAAGAGAAUAUGGUUUUGAGGAAGACAAGUCAGAUUCAGACUCUGAUGAUGAUGGGAUUCGGAAGGCCGGAGGGGAUAUCUCUCAGCAAGCACAAGCUGCACUUGCUGCCAUAAGUGCAGCAUCCAGGGUAACUGUAGCUUCAAUGGCGACCCCAGUCUCAGCAGCCCCGUUGUUGCCAAAUGGAGGAUUACCUGUAUCUCUCCCUGGUGUCCUUGGUUUGGGUAUACCAGGCACGGCUGCAGCAGUACCUGGGGUGGCUCUGCCCAUUGGGCCAGGUGAUGGAGCAGCUCGAGCUGCGGCAAUAGCAGCUGCGAUGAAUCUGCAGCAUAAUCUUGCAAAAAUCCAGGCCGAUGCACUGCCUGAACACUAUGAAGCAGAGUUGGAGAUCAAUGAUUUCCCUCAGAAUGCUCGUUGGAAGGUGACCCACAAGGAAACUUUGGUGCCAAUCUCAGAAUGGACUGGAGCUGCUAUAACUACCAGGGGGCAAUAUUAUCCACCAGGUAAGAUUGCAGGACCCGGGGAGCGGAAGCUUUAUUUGUUCAUUGAAGGUCCGACUGAACAGUCUGUAAAGAGGGCAAAAGCAGAAGUGAAGCGUGUUCUGGAGGACAUUACGAAUCAGUCACUGUCACUGCCUGGUACUGCACAGCCGGGCAGGUACUCUGUACUGUGACAACCUGGUUUUGGCUAUAUGAAUAGGUAGAUAUUAUAUUGCCUUUGGAUCUGUUCAUUCUGGCAUCUGUUUCAUCGAUUUGUUUUUCAUUUUACCAUUAUACUUUUGUCGGAAAAAGGUUUGUUAUAGAUACCUCAUGUUUUGUAAGGGUUUUGGGUUCAACUUCAAGAAUGCUUUACUCAAUGGCAUAUGCCUAGAACUUCCAUUUUAUUCUGCAAUCUCAUGAACAUUUAUUUUUCUCUACAGUAACCUUUCAUAUAGGACGUGUGCGAGUGUGCGGGGGGGGUUGUAAUCAGGAAUUCCCCUUUGUUCUUUGACAUUUUCACACAAGCUUUGACUAGUGAAAUUAUAGAAUACAUCAGUCAGUAUGAUGGUUGGGUAAAUUACAGAAGUGAUUGCCUUUGACCUACAAAAUGAGUUUUGUUUGCCCUUUCUUCUCUUUUAUGUUAUUUGGUUAAAUUUAAUGGUUUUCUUUGGAUUUGGACAAGGCUUCCAUCCUUUGAUUUUAUUUCAAUUAUCAUUUUCUUUGGCAUGAGGGGAAGAUCUGGGCCUCUGCUUGUGUGUGCCAAGUACGUCUCAGCGCCUUGCUCACUCUUGGAAGCUUUUGAUGGGAUGGCGUUCACGGUCUGAUCCCAGAAGCCCAUUGCAUACUUCAAUGGUACAUGUAUCAGUUCUACGAGGCAUUCCCUUCAUCCCUAUUUUGAUUUUCUCGCUCCCUAUUUGACCCUGUAAACUUAUGCCUCAUUGCCUGAUGUUGUACUUCCUAAUAUGAAGAUUCGUGUAAUGCAUAACACCCUAUGGCUCAGUGCGGUAAUCCAUGCUUUGCUGCUUUGACAUUGGUGAUGGUAAGGAAAGAGCACAUUCUCCACAUGCCUUGUACCUCUGUGAUUGGUGCGGCCAAUGCAUGUAUUCAUGCUGGACAGUUGAUCUGGACUCAUUACCUUCGGUCUCACAUUCUCGGAUUGUGCACUAGAAUUGCUGGUUUCCUGACAUAAUUGGAUUUACCGGUGGAUCCGAACUGUGCUGUCUAUGUGACUACUUUAUAGAGUUUCUGUUGGUCAGUGGGUGCUAGUUGAGGCAUGGUCUAUGGUAUCAUGCGGUAUUGGGAGUUUAAGAAUCAUUGAGCAUAGUUCUGUUUUCAUAUUCUUUAGGAUCGUCAUUUACCUGGAGAACACUUACAUUAUUACCAAUGAAGUACAUGGCUGUGGAUAUGAAAACUUGGAUACUGGAAUCUUUUCCCCUCUGUUUUGCUCCAUAAUUACUUUCUGCUUUCCUGCAGCUGGUUCAAGUUGUAUUUCUUUUUGCUGAAUAACUAACCUCAUUUUGUUGGAUGGUUGUACCUGCAAUUAACUUUGUUCUUGCAGUAUUAAGCAACGACUUAUUUAUGAUCUUCAAUGUUAAUAUCAUGCUGCAAUUUACGUUGUCCUUUUUUAA